rnacentral:misc_RNA from 1 species
GAAAUGCGAUAAGUAAUGUGAAUCGCAGAAUUCAGUGAAUCAUCGAAUCUUUGAACGCACAUUGCGCCCGCCAGUAUUCUGGCGGGCAUGCCUGUUCGAGCGUCAUUACAACCCUCAGGCCCCCGGGCCUGGCGUUGGGGAUCGGCGGAAGCCCCCUGCGGGCACAACGCCGUCCCCCAAAUACAGUGGCGGUCCCGCCGCAGCUUCCAUUGCGUAGUAGCUAACACCUCGCAACUGGAGAGCGGCGCGGCCACGCCGUAAAACACCCAACUUCUGAAUGUUGACCUCGAAUCAGGUAGGAAUACCCGCUGAACUUAAGC